GCCUUGGAUUCUCUUUUGGUCUGCCAGCUGCUACGUCUCAACACACUAACUCUCCACUCUCUCACACUCAGCAGAAAAGACAAAAAAACUCUCCCAAACUCUCACAAUAUAUCUCUCUCUCACAAACCUCACACUACUGACUAUUCACUCACUCUGAAUCUCUCCAAAACCCUAAAACCCUCACUCACUUUCCGCCUCCACCCUCUCUCUUUCUCUCGUUACUCUUCCCAUCACUCAGAAAAGCCGCACAUCUCUCACACUCCCAAAAUCAUCACCACGGAAACCUACUACCGCCGCCGUUCCUCACCGUUAACCACUUUCAACCUCACAAAAACCCAGCCCACCGCCGCUCUCACCAAACACCCCAAAACGCUCCUUCAAAAUCCGCCGUCAAAACCUCCAUCUCCACCACAUCACUCUCUUCGUCCAACAAAAUAACCAUCCACCGCCAAAUCCUUCAUCGUACCACCGAUCUACUCAACCGACCAGCCUUACGACUCAUCGCCGUCCUCUACCGACAAUAAAUCCUUAAACCCCGUGUCAACAUCUCCUACCAACACUCAACACCUCCGCCGCCGCUACCUCCGUCGUGACAACGUCAGCGGCACAACCGCCUCCGAUCCUUUUCUUCUCUCCAACAACAACACAACAUCUCCCACAUACAUUCUGUUUUGUUGAUUCUAAAGUCAAAAAAAUCAUUCACUGUUUUUGGUUAUCCUCUGUUGUUGAUUCGUGUGCAGGGUGUGAGUUUAAUUCAAGAUGCGGGAACCAUUGCGACAAGGCCAGGGCUCAUUUCCAUCACGCCAACGAUAAUGAAACAUAGUGGUAGCGGAAUCACUCGUUUCGGUGAUUAUUUCUUUUCGUUGCCUGUUGUACCCAUUUCUGCUUAAGGAGUGAUGUUCGCUGAGUUAAAAGAAGACCAUAUUUUAUGUAUAGGUCAUAUAUUUGGAUUGGUAGAUACAAUUUAAUAAUUCAGUAACUUUGCUUUUUUCUUCUUGGAAGAGUGCCUAACAGGGACGUUUCAUUUUGGUUUGCAUAUUUGGUUUGUAUAUUGUUUCUAUCUCUUGCAUAAUAAUUAGGCUUAAGUAUGGGUGUGUGGCUUUAGAAUCAUUGCUUGGUAUAUGUGUCAUGUGUUGUACAUAAUUUGGUGACAUUGUAAAAAUGCAUUAUAAUUAUUUUGUUUUCAUUA